rnacentral:rRNA from 1 species
ACUCCUGCGGGAGGCAGCAGUGGGGAAUUUUGGACAAUGGGCGAAAGCCUGAUCCAGCCAUGCCGCGUGCAGGAUGAAGGCCUUCGGGUUGUAAACUGCUUUUGUACGGAACGAAACGGCCUUUUCUAAUAAAGAGGGCUAAUGACGGUACCGUAAGAAUAAGCACCGGCUAACUACGUGCCAGCAGCCGCGGUAAUACGUAGGGUGCAAGCGUUAAUCGGAAUUACUGGGCGUAAAGCGUGCGCAGGCGGUUAUGUAAGACAGUUGUGAAAUCCCCGGGCUCAACCUGGGAACUGCAUCUGUGACUGCAUAGCUAGAGUACGGUAGAGGGGGAUGGAAUUCCGCGUGUAGCAGUGAAAUGCGUAGAUAUGCGGAGGAACACCGAUGGCGAAGGCAAUCCCCUGGACCUGUACUGACGCUCAUGCACGAAAGCGUGGGGAGCAAACAGGAUUAGAAACCCCUGUAGUCCCA